rnacentral:rRNA from 1 species
UUCCUUCGGGACAGGAGAGACAGGUGGUGCAUGGUUGUCGUCAGCUCGUGUCGUGAGAUGUUGGGUUAAGUCCCGCAACGAGCGCAACCCCUAUCUUUAGUAGCCAGCAUAUAAGGUGGGCACUCUAGAGAGACUGCCAGGGAUAACCUGGAGGAAGGUGGGGACGACGUCAAAUCAUCAUGCCCCUUAUGACCAGGGCUACACACGUGCUACAAUGGCGUAAACAGAGGGAAGCAGCCUCGUGAGAGUGAGCAAAUCCCAAAAAUAACGUCUCAGUUCGGAUUGUAGUCUGCAACUCGACUACAUGAAGCUGGAAUCGCUAGUAAUCGCGAAUCAGAAUGUCGCGGUGAAUACGUUCCCGGGUCUUGUACACACCGCCCGUCACACCAUGGGAGUCAGUAACGCCCGAAGUCAGUGACCCAACCGUAAGGAGGGAGCUGCCGAAGGCGGGACCGAUAACUGGGGUGAAGUCGUAACAAGGUAGCCGUAUCGGAAGGUGCGGCUGGAUCACCUCCUUUCUAAGGAA